GUUGAAAAGUACUUUCAUGUGUGCGCUGAUAUUUUCAGACUUAUAUUCAGAGGCAUUAGUGAUGUUUUUUAUCACACCUGUAUGAAUGCACACACCUUUUCUGUGCUUUAAGCGGGCUUGUAAUAUAAAACAAUUUUUGGAUGGUUCUAGCUUUAACUUUCCAGCAUUUCCAGCGAUAAGGCAAAACACAAAAUCCUCUCAACACAGCAUUUGUCCUCAUCGUAGCAUUAUAACUAAUAAAUAGCUAGCACUGUUUGUUCCAGCAUGCUAUUCAAUUCUCAAUUCUGAUUGGUCAGAAAGUGUUGAUUCAAAUGGCAGCUUUAUAGCUGCUAUAACGCAAGUGAUAACAGGAACGAACUUGUUUUGCAGACAUUCCACAACAUUAAAGUAACUAUAUAUGGAUAAAAAUUGAUGGUGUCAUUCUUGAAUAAGUGAAAAUGGGUAAUUGUUGGUAAAUCAAUAUGUUAUAUUGAUUGAGGAAUAAAACACAGAGGCAACACACCACACUGUUAGAAUCACAUGAAUGUUUGUUUACUCGUUAUGAUGUAUUAUGAAGAACACAACACAAAAGUGAAUACAAACCAUGAAUCAGAAAUGUUAAUGUUUUCUUGUUGUUCUUUUGUUUGAAAAUAAAGAUGGAAUUGUAAUGUUUAUUUAGUUUAGUUCUGUUUGAAUUGUGGUUGGUGUUUAUUUAGUUUAGGCUUGUUUACUGAUGGUUGGUGUUUAUUUAGUUUAGGCUUGUUUACUGAUGGUUGGUGUUUAUUUAGUUUAGGCUUGUUUACUGAUGGUUGGUGUUUAUUUAGUUUAGGCUUGUUUACUGAUGGUUGGUGUUUAUUUAGUUUAGGCUUGUUUGCUGAUGGUUGGUGUUUAUUUAGUUUUGGCUUGUUUGCUGAUGGUUGGUGUUUAUUUAGUUUAGGCUUGUUUGCUGAUGGUUGGUGUUUAUUUAGUUUAGGCUUGUUUACUGAUGGGUGUUUAUUUAGUUUAGGCUUGUUUGCUGAUGGUUGGUGUUUAUUUAGUUUAGGCUUGUUUACUGAUGGUUGGUGUUUAUUUAGUUUAGGCUUGUUGGCUGAUGGUUGGUGUUUAUUUAGUUUAGG
ensembl:lncRNA